CGGCGGCCGUCGCGGCGGCGGCGCCGGGGGCCGGCGUCGCGGGCAGCCGCGACAGCAUCGACGACAAGAACCCAGACGUCGUGCCGCACAACAGCGACGCCGACGUGCAGGACGAUGACGACGACGACACCGGCGGUGUGGGUGGCGGCCGGCACGGGCGGCAUCCGAGUGGCGGCGGAGGCGGCGGGGGCGGUCCGGGCAGCCACGUGCGCUACGUCACCAGGAACGGAGACGAAGUGACGUACAUCGAGCUUCCGGCGCCGCGGGCGCCACAGGCUGUGGCAGUGACGGCGCCGCCGACGCCGGCGCCGCGGCCGACGGUGCGCUUCCAGGACGAGGUGGUGGCGCUGGAGCCGG